rnacentral:lncRNA from 1 species
AUUUCUCCGAUCCCACAGCCACUAAGUCUCGCAAGGCCCUCGAGUCUGGUGUCUGGCUCUGCUCAGUUGCCACCUGGAAGGAGGGGUGGGAGCUCUGGCAAAGAGCACGUCCCACCCGCUUCCUCUGAUGCUCUCAGGGAGGCUGCAGGUCCCAGGGGACCUUGGUGGGAGGUGUACUGGGUCUGAUCCAAGACAGCUGCAGAAGGUCAGGUUACAGCAGAUGGGUCACAUGCUCCAGCCUGGACAGGCCAAGGAUCUGUCACAUUCUCUGUCCAGCCUUUCCCCAUCACUGCUGCAGCAUGCCGCAGCCUAUGCUCUGGAUGGCCCUGGCUCCUCUGCUAGCCGCCCUCGAUGCAGGGAUGGUCACCUUCUCUCCCUGCAGUGGGGCCCACUGCAUCCUCCUGUGCCUCGUCACCCGCUCGCCAGGCCAGCACUCCGUGGAGAGAAGCUGCGUGCCGUGCCCCUUUGGCUUUUUGUGGUUGGGCGGCAGGACAACUCUGCAGCCAUGCCCCACCUGCGGAACCUGCACUGAGCUCCCAGGACUCCUAGACAGCAAGGAGUACCAGUGGUGCCUGACUAGACAGAAGCCAAGCUUGCAGAAUGCUGGCUACGUCUUCUGCCCCCUGGGCUACUUCUUCACAGACAGAGGCCCCAGCUGCCAGCCCUUCCCCACAGGUAGGUGAGAGCGGGCUGGGGACCUGAAUGACGUUUGGGAAGAACUGGCACAGGUUGGCCCAGGAGAGUGCUGGGGGUCCAUAGUGCUCGGAUUGGCCUGUGUGCCCCGGGGAGUCCAGGUGGUUUCUGAGGGGCGGAGUUCAGCUAUCCCCGAGCCCCAAACACACACCCAAAGGGCUGUGGGGAGAAUGAAAUGAGACAACUCAGAGGGAUGGAAGCAUGCAGAGGGGUGAAGGGCGUGAGCAUCAGAAGAUGGUCCAAGAGCUGGCUCUGCUCUUUAACUGGACGUGUGAUCUUGACAGCGUUGUACAGUUUAUUGUGGGCAGGGCCUGCUACGUAUAUUUUGUUAAAUUUAUCUCCAAGCAUUUCAUGGUUCGAGAUGUUAUUGUAAGUGGAGUUGUAUUUUUUAUUUCACUUUCCAAUUGUUUGUAGCUAAUAUUGAUUUUUUCCAUUUUUUUUAUUGUGGUAAAAUACAUAUAAAACUUAGCAUCUUACCCAUUUUUCAAUGUGCAGUUCAGUGGUACUGAAUACAUUCCUAAUGUCCAAUCAUCCCACCAUCAAUCUCCAUAACUCUUUUCAUCUGGUAAAACUGCAGCUCUGUAUCCACUAAAGAAUAACUGUCCACUCCCUGCUCCCCCAGCCCCUGGCAGCCGCCAUUCUCCUUUCUGUCUCUAUGAAUUUGACCACUCCAGGUAACUCAUAUCAGUGGAAUCAUACAGUUGUCUUUUUGUGACUGGCUUAUUUCACUUAGCAUUAUAUCCUCAAAAUUCAUCCAUGAUGUAGCAUAUGUCAAUUUCCUUAUUUUUUAAGGCUGAGUAAUAUUCCAUUCUACAUAUAUACCACAUUUUGAUUAUCCAUUUAUCUGUUGAUGGACACUUGGCUUGCUUCUAC